CAGUCGCCGCGGGAAUACGAAGGGGGCUAGCGUUGUUCGGAUUUACUGGGCGUAAAGGGUGCGUAGGCGGACUGAUAAGUCAGGGGUGAAAUCCCAAGGCUCAACCUUGGAACUGCCUUUGAUACUGUUAGUCUUGAGUUCGAGAGAGGUGAGUGGAACUGCGAGUGUAGAGGUGAAAUUCGUAGAUAUUCGCAAGAACACCAGUGGCGAAGGCGGCUCACUGGCUCGAAACUGACGCUGAGGCACGAAAGCGUGGGGAGCAAACAGGAUUAGAUACCCCGGUAGUCCCUGUCUCUUAUAC
rnacentral:rRNA from 1 species